UACGUAGGGUGCAAGCGUUGUCCGGAAUUAUUGGGCGUAAAGAGCUCGUAGGCGGUUUGUCGCGUCUGCUGUGAAAACUCGGGGCUUAACCCCGGGCCUGCAGUGGGUACGGGCAGACUAGAGUGCGGUAGGGGAGACUGGAAUUCCUGGUGUAGCGGUGAAAUGCGCAGAUAUCGGGAGGAACACCGGUGGCGAAGGCGGUUCUCUGGGCCUGACCUGGACGCUGAGGAGCGAAAGCGUGGGGAGCGAACAGG
rnacentral:rRNA from 1 species